UUUAGGCUGAGUCACCGCUCAAGGCUGAAGCAGCGGGCAGGCAGGAAGAAAACACUGCAGGUAUCCCAGGAGCAGACUGAGGAGAGCAGGACUCGAGCAUCUGCUACUAUUCAAGGAAAUAAAAAAUUAAAAACCCGAAACAUCAGCGGGCAGGACAGGAAAGGGUAGAGAAGCGAGGAAUACAAAAGCAGCGGAUGCAGCUGACGGGGUUUAAGAAAAUGUUUUCCAGCACGCAUGAGAACCCCAGAGUGAGCCGUCGCACUUAUAAAGAUCAUGGUGGCUCUCAUCCAUCACCAAGCUCUUCAUACACUUGAGCUCCCAGUCAUGGACCUCGGUGUGCCACAGUGCCGGAACCAGAACCGUGUAUUGGGCUCUACGGAGGGAAAAGGAUGGGAACAGAGGCAUUGACACUGAAGAAGAUCCCAACACAACACCAGCAGCCUCAGUGCUCCAAUCCAACAGCCCGACGAGACACCAUCAUCAGCUUCAACAGAUGUGUGUGAACAUGUAUGAGCUGCUGGCCCCAUGGAUCCUGCUGACUGGCCACAGCAGUAGAACAAAAUGGAAAGUAGAACUUUGUUUAUGAUGACACUUUGAUAUUUGAGUUUUGCUUUUGAUUGCACAGUUUAAUGCUGCUUUUGAUUUUGCAUCCCCCCCCCCAAUGACAUUUGCACAACAUUUUGAGUUGUUGGUUAUUGUAAUAUUCUCAGGUUACUUAUCUUUCAAGUUUACAUUUAUUCUUCAGGCUGUUGACUUUAAAGAGUUGCUGUGUGAGUAUUUAAAAUAA